GCGCUCGCUCUGGGGACUGGCCUUCGCUCUGUAAACUGUUAAAGGCUGAGCUAGGAGCCCUGCGAGGUGCAGAAACAUUGUCUUAUGGGCAGCUGCAUCUUCAGAAUUCCUCAGGGAUAAGAGCUUGCUGGGGAGAGGGGAACGAUUUCAUUUAGAGACGGUCUCAAUCCAGAAAAUAUUCUCCUCAUCUUUGAGUGUAUCUGUACUCCAGACGUCCCUCCUUUCUCCCUCCAUCGUCCUCUCUUCUCCUGUAACUCGUCCUGCUUACUUCU